rnacentral:rRNA from 1 species
GUCCACACCCUAAACGAUGAAUACUAGAUGUUGGUCCUUUUUAGGAUCAGUAUCCAAGCUAACGCAUUAAGUAUUCCACCUGGGAAGUACAAUCGCAAGGUUGAAACUCAAAGGAAUUGACGGGGGCCCGCACAAGCAGUGGAGCAUGUGGUUUAAUUCGACGCAACGCGAAGAACCUUACCUAGGCUUGAAACGCAAGUUAAUCCUGAUGAAAGUCAGGGUUCCGCAAGGAGAACUUGUACAGGUGCUGCAUGGCUGUCGU